UGGGGAAUCUUCCGCAAUGGACGAAAGUCUGACGGAGCAACGCCGCGUGAGUGAUGACGGUCUUCGGAUUGUAAAGCUCUGUUAAUCGGGACGAAUGGUUUAUGUGCAAAUAGUGCAUAGACAUGACGGUACCGGAAUAGAAAGCCACGGCUAACUACGUGCCAGCAGCCGCGGUAAUACGUAGGUGGCAAGCGUUGUCCGGAAUUAUUGGGCGUAAAGCGCGCGCAGGCGGACUAGCCAGUCAGUCUUAAAAGUUCGGGGCUUAACCCCGUGAUGGGAUUGAAACUACUAGUCUAGAGUAUCGGAGAGGAAAGUGGUAUUCCUAGUGUAGCGGUGAAAUGCGUAGAUAUUAGGAAGAACACCAGUGGCGAAGGCGACUUUCUGGACGAACACUGACGCUGAGGCGCGAAAGCCAGGGGAGCGAACGGG
rnacentral:rRNA from 1 species